rnacentral:tRNA from 1 species
GGUGGCGUGGCCGAGGGGCUAGGCAGAGGUCUGCAAAACCUUCCACGUCGGUUCGAGUCCGGCCGCCACCUCCA